GAUACGUUUGUCGCAUGGCAUUUGUAUUAUACGCUCCGGCGCCAUAGGAUGGACCCGCGUCCCAUUAGCUAGUUGGUGAGAUAACAGCUCACCAAGGCCACGAUGGGUAACCGGUCUGAGAGGGCGAACGGUCACACUGGGACUGAGACACGGUCCAGACUCCUACGGGAGGCAGCAGUGAGGAAUAUUGCACAAUGGAGGAAACUCUGAUGCAGCAACGCCGCGUGGAGGAUGACGCAUUUCGGUGUGUAAACUCCUUUUAUUAGGGAAGAUAAUGACGGUACCUAAUGAAUAAGCACCGGCUAACUCCGUGCCAGCAGCCGCGGUAAUACGGAGGGUGCAAGCGUUACUCGGAAUCACUGGGCGUAAAGGGUGCGUAGGCUGGCUUUUAAGUCAGAUGUGAAAUCCAAUGGCUCAACCAUUGAACUGCAUUUGAAACUGAAAGCCUAGAGUUCAGAAGGGGCAGAUGGAAUUAGUGGUGUAGGGGUAAAAUCCGUAGAUAUCACUAGGAAUAUCAAAAGCGAAGGCGAUCUGCUGGGAUGAUACUGA
rnacentral:rRNA from 1 species